UACGAAGAGGGCUAGCGUUGUUCGGAGUUACUGGGCGUAAAGGGCGCGUAGGCGGCGCACCAAGUCAGGCGUGAAAGCCCUGGGCUCAACCCGGGAAUUGCGCUUGAGACUGGUGUGCUCGAGUACGGGAGAGGAUAGUGGAAUUCCCAGUGUAGAGGUGAAAUUCGUAGAUAUCGGGAGGAACACCAGUGGCGAAGGCGGCGACCUGGACGGACAUUGACGCUGAGACGCGAAAGCGUGGGGAGCAAACAGC
rnacentral:rRNA from 1 species